rnacentral:rRNA from 1 species
GACGAACGCUGGCGGCGUGCCUAAUACAUGCAAGUCGAACGCAGUGGGGACGGGUGAGUAACACGUGGGUAACCUCCCAUCAGAGGGGAUAACACUUGGAAACCGGUGCUAAACCGCUAUUGAUGGAUGGACCCGCGGUGAAUUAGCUAGUUGGUGAGGGAACGGCUCACCAAGGCCACGAUGGAUAGACGCCCUGCUAGAUGUAUAGGCCACACGGGGAAUUGGACACGGACCCGACGCCUACGGGAGGCAGCAGUCGGGAUUCUGCGGGAAGGCACGAAAGUCUUACCUAGCAACGCCGCGUGAGUGAAGAAGGUUUUCGUAUCGUAAACCUCUGUGGUUUGAGAAGCGGUAUCUAACCAGAAAGCCACGGCUAACUACGUGCCAGCAGCCGCGGUAAUAC